rnacentral:rRNA from 1 species
AUUGAACGCUGGCGGCAGGCCUAACACAUGCAAGUCGAACGAGUGGCGGACGGGUGAGUAAUGUCUGGGAAACUGCCUGAUGGAGGGGGAUAACUACUGGAAACGGUAGCUAAUACCGCAUACCAUCAGAUGUGCCCCGAUGGGAUUAGCUAGUUGGUGGGGUAACGGCUUACCAAGGCGACGAUCCCUAGCUGGUCUGCGAGGAGGACCAGACACACUGUAACUGAGAGACGGGCGAGACUCCUACGGGAGGCAGCAGUGGGGAAGAUUGAACAAAGGGCGCAAGCCUGAUGAAGCCAUGCCGCGUGUAUGAAGAAGGCCUUCGGGUUGUAAAGUACUUUCAGAGGGGAGGCGUUACCCGCAGAAGAAGCACCGGCUAACUCCGUGCAAGCAGCCGCGGUAAUAC